CCAACACUCUAAAACUUAAAAGAUAAAGUAUGGCCAAAAUACAAGCCCAAACAAUGCUAAAAUAAAACAAGUGUUAAAUAAUAAAAAUAUAGCAAGCCCAUCAUAACAAAGCUGAAUCUUCACAAAAGCCUUACUUGAUCUUCACUUUAGGCUUCCCUUUGUGUAGUUUUAGCCCAUAGAUUUGAUUAGGCUCCCUAAGCCUAUGAUUGCAAGUGUUGCACCAAAUCUGUUCCAUAUGAGUUGAAGCACGCCCCAAAUAUAUAUGGAUCAUAUGAAUAUGAUUUUGAACUCCUUUUAGAUCCAUUUGAAUGACAUAAGUUUGCUCCACACCAUUGUCAGAAACUUGCCCUAUUGGAUCCGUAUCAUUCUCUCCUUCUUUAGAAAAGAUUCGUCCUCGAAUCUUGCUGAUAUUUAUGUCAAAAAGGAAAGCUUUAGGAACCCAUGUAUCUUCAAAGACAUCCUUUUGAAUCGGUGGAAAUAGGAUAAAACUCCCGUCAUGAAUGUUUUCAUUAACAACCUGCACAUCAAGAACAAAUGAACUAGGCAUACAAAUAUUAGUCAUAGAAACAUCAUGUGGAUGUGACCCAUUCUCCUCUACAACUUCCAAAACAGUCUCAUUCCCCUCCUCCACCUCAUCAAUCACGUGCUCCCCAUGUCCCUCAUCAUUCACAACCUCUUCUAUAAGUUCAUUGAUGGAAUUCUCAACAACAACUACAUUAGAUUCAUGCAUUACAACUUCCUCUUCAACUUCAAUCUCUAUGGAAGUUGAGAUUGGAACUUUAGCCUCUUCUUUCUCCACCUUCCCUCCUUGAACUAGUCUUGAUUCUUUUCCAGCCUCUUUACCCUCAAACUCUCUCUUUUCUCUCAUCUUUUCCACAAAAUUCAAGCUCUCACGCCCCUUUGUGGCCAAGGCCGAAGCCUCCCUCUCCCUCUCCAGCAUCUUUAUUUGAUACACAUAUACCUCUUGAGGUGAUAAAGGAGCGAGUAUAACCUUCUGUCCUUCAUGAGUGAAGGAGUACUUGUUAUUGAACCCAUCAUGUUGCACCUUUCUAUCAUGUUGCCACGGCCUACCCAACAACAUAUGGCUUGCCUGCAUAGGUACCACAUCACACAAUAUCUCAUCCUUGUACCUACCAAUAGAAAAUGGUAUAACCACCUGGCGUGUAACCCUAACCUCACCACAAUCAUUCAACCAUUGCAAUCUGUAUGGCUUAGGGUGUUCAAUAGAAGCCAAGCCCAAUUUCUCCACCAUAUACACACUAGCCACAUUUGUGCAACUACCUCCAUCAAUAAUGAGAGUACACACUUUUCCAUUAACCAAACACCUAGUGUGAAAUAUGUUUUCCCGUUGUUCUAGGCUUUCUUUCUUAACCUGCAUAUUCAGAGCACGCCUAGCAACAAGCAUCUCAUAAUGUGCAGCAAGCAACACAUUAUUAACCAACACAUCCGAAUCAUCACAGUCAUUAUUGCAAUUAGGAGUUUUUUGAGGUAUUCUUGUAGAAGUGGAAGCUUGUGAGACAUUUAAACUCUCCAUAGUUUCAGUCAACCUCUCAAGAGUCUUAUUGAGCCUUUGUAACUCACCACUGACCGAUUUCUUAAAGAGCUUAUAAUCGUUACCCAUAUUCGAUUCACUUCUAUCAGUACAAUCCACCACAUUCUUGUCUUUACUCAUCCUUUCUUAAAUCAACAAAGAACAAAAAGAACUAGCAAAUAUUGUGUUAGAAAGGAAAGCACUCAAGUGUCUGCACACUUACCACUCUUUUGCUGAUUCUUCAAUUGCACUUCAGAAAAUAAGGUCAACCAACUAACCACAAGGUGCGUUUAGUGAAACAAAGAAGAAAUCCUAAAGAAAGAAGGAAGCGCGCAAAAACUAGAAAGAAGACACUGACAAUUUGGAAAGUAACACACAAACUAGGUGUUGUGCUACUUGAAAAAUAUCACCUAGAGUAUGACACAAGCAAACAAUACUCCAGCAAUGUCAAGGAAGUAAAAGCAAGCUUAAACCAAAACGAAACUUUGAAUUCAAAUAAAAACGAAUCUGGACAAAAGUUUGAAUUUAAUUCGCUUCAACGCAAAUUAAAUACGGAUCUAUUUAAAUCUACCCAAAAAGGCAAGUAUAAAAACCCUACAAAUAGGCUAAAAAAAAAAUAUCUCACUCAGUGCAGCAUCAUGGACGAAAAUGGGCAUUAAAAGAUGGAUUUGACACCAAAUUGAUUUAGAUGCAGUUGCCUUAAAUGUGCACUUUAAGAAAUAGGCAGGUUUGUUUUGUCUCCUAAUCCGGAUUCAACGCAAUUCAAAAUUCAAAAUUGAUUUCCAUAAACUACAGCAAUCAAUUAAGAUAGGCAAGGAAAUAUGGAUGAAAUAGGAAGCAUAUCACAAUUUCGGAAAGAUCAAGAUAAAUAUGGCAACGGCGAAUUUUUUUUUUUUUCGUUUUUUUUUUUGUUUCUUUUUUUUUUUUUUUGGAUUUCAAAUUUUUUUUCCCAAAAGAGAUUAUGUGAUAAUUUAUCAAGAAGGUGCAGUCAUGGAUACAGAAGCUUUCAAUGAAAUCAACAAGAAAGACAAGGAAAACUCGAAAAAAGAAUCUAGAUCCUGAGAUAAAUAAGAAUUUACCUCACUUUGGCUCUGAUACCAACUGACGCGGAACCCUAUGGCACAAGCCUCAAACCCACACGCACAAGUAGAUAUGGAAUCCAAAGAUUUGAUAAACCCACCUCCUAUGGCACCCCAAACUUAGAGAAGCUGAAACACCAAUAAUCGAAGGAUUUAGAUGAGAAUCUGACAAACGCCACAACGAAUAGUUGAUAAGUAAGCCAAGAUUCCUGGUGCAAUUGAUGAAAGCAAAUCCUCACUCUCACUCAAAGCAAUACACGCCAAAGGCAUGAAAAUAAUUCUGAAAUUUUUUAUUAAAAGCCGACUCUUACAAUUGUUUCUUAUCCUUAUAUAGUAAGGAGAAAAACAAAUAAAACCCUAAGACACUCUUCUUGGACCUGACUUAAACACAUAAGGCCCAAGCCCAAUCACACACUAAAAUAACACAUAAGUAUUAAAACAUAAGCCCAAAACAUGACCCAACACUCUAAAACUUAAAAGAUAAAGUAUGGCCAAAAUACAAGCCCAAACAUUGCUAAAAUAAAACAAGUGUUAAAUAAUAAAAAUAUAGCAAGCCCAUCAUAACAAAGCUGAAUCUUCACAAAAGCCUUACUUGAUCUUCACUUUAGGCUUCCCUUUGUGUAGUUUUAGCCCAUAGAUUUGAUUAGGCUCCCUAAGCCUAUGAUUGCAAGUGUUGCACCAAAUCUGUCCCAUAUGAGUUGAAGCACGCCCCAAAUAUAUAUGGAUCAUAUGAAUAUGAUUUUGAACUCCUUUUAGAUCCAUUUGAAUGACAUAAGUUUGCUCCACACCAUUGUCAGAAACUUGCCCUAUUGGAUCCGUAUCAAAAG
rnacentral:lncRNA from 1 species